AAUGAACGCUGGCGGCAUGCCUAACACAUGCAAGUCGAACGAGACCUUCGGGUCUAGUGGCGCACGGGUGCGUAACGCGUGGGAACCUGCCCUUAGGUUCGGAAUAACUCCCCGAAAGGGGUGCUAACACCGGAUAAUGUCUUCGGACCAAAGAUUUAUCGCCUUUGGAUGGGCCCGCGUUGGAUUAGCUAGUUGGUAGGGUAAAAGCCUACCAAGGCGACGAUCCAUAGCUGGUUUGAGAGGAUGAUCAGCCACACUGGGACCGAGACACGGCCCAGACUCCUACGGGAGGCAGCAGUGGGGAAUAUUGGACAAUGGGCGAAAGCCUGAUCCAGCAAUGCCGCGUGAGUGAUGAAGGCCUUAGGGUUGUAAAGCUCUUUUACCCGGGAUGAUAAUGACAGUACCGGGAGAAUAAGCUCCGGCUAACUCCGUG
rnacentral:rRNA from 1 species